UGGAGAUUGUUCUUUAGAAAUCACAACAUCAUGAAAUCAAAUAUCAAGUAUAGCAUUGUCUUCAGUUAAACGAAAACAAUAAACAUGAAAUUGGAAGCAUGAAUAUAUUUCCAACUUAAAGUACUUCCAUCAUCCAGACAAAGGCAUCAAAAGCUACCAUAUACAACCAUCCAAACAUUCACAUGAAAUUCUAGCUAAAAAAAUCAAGCAAAACAUUAUCAAAACUAUCUGGACAAAAAUCAAGGCCAAAAACCAUCAAAAUCCACCAUACACAACCAUGACAAAAGGUAGAAAUUUCCUUUAUUCAUAAUAUGUUGGUCUAUUCGCUGUUGGGCCUGGUCUUACCUUGGUUGUGUGAUUGUGUCCUUAUGAACUAAGGGGGUUCACAUGAACCUUUUUGGUAGUUCUUCAAAUGCAUUUUCAAUCGACGUCGAUCUCUUACCCCUUGACGAGACUAAUUUGUCGUAGAAUACACAACGAACGCAGCAAAUGUCUUAUUACAAAGAGCAAAUGUACCAAAUGAGGUAAAAAAGGACUUGAUAUUUACUCACUUGCUCGCUGACCACUACGUUGCAAUUUGAUUCAACUGGCUUUAAUUCAGCUUCGAACCAUUCCUGUUAGCAGAAAAAGAAAAGCUGCAACUUUUACAAUUUGCACAAUUAAUAGUUUUUUUUCCAAAUAAAUGAGUUUUUCAAGAUAUUACCUAAACAAAUAAAGCACAAA
rnacentral:lncRNA from 1 species